GCUCCCCUCCCCCAGCCUCGCUGCUGCCUUGCAGUUUGAUCUCAGACUGCUGUGCUAGCAAUCAGCGAGACUCCGUGGGCGUAGGACCCUCCGAGCCAGGUGUGGGAUAUAGUCUCGUGGUGCGCCGUUUUUUAAGCCCGUCGGAAAAGCGCAGUAUUCGGGUGGGAGUGACCCGAUUUUCCAGGUGCGUCCGUCACCCCUUUCUUUGACUCGGAAAGGGAACUCCCUGACCCCUUGCGCUUCCCAAGUGAGGCAAUGCCUCGCCCUGCUUCGGCUCGCGCACGGUGCGCGCACCCACUGACCUGCGCCCACUGUCUGGCACUCCCUAGAGAGAUGAACCCGGUACCUCAGAUGGAAAUGCAGAAAUCACCGUCUUCUGCGUCGCUCACGCUGGGAGCUGUAGACCAGAGCUGUUCCUAUUCGGCCAUCUUGGCUCCUUAUUCUCAUUACCUUCUUGAGUUGUGGCUCAGACACUACAACAGAGCUCUGUCACCUCUUUCUAAAAGCUGGGAAAUGGUUAUUGUCAACGCCAGCCCCAUUUUGGAGGCACCUGGUUGCAGGGGACCACAGCUAGGGACAACAUGGUGAGGAGCAGCAAAGAAGAAACGAGAUACGUGUGGCUGCUUCAUUUACUCAUUCAUGAUUUUUGACCCGAGUCAUCCCUGGAGUCUCACACUUGAUCUUAGCCAAAAGGCCGAGAAGCGAUCAUCCCUGGAGUCUCUCUGAAUCUGCCGUGAUCCUGGGGGCUGCCCGAUUCGUGCAUUGUUCAUUGCUCAAUUAAACUCCUUUAAAUUUAAUUUGGCUGAAGUUUUUCUUUUAAUGAUACUAUGAUGUGUCAUUAUUAUUUCACUUUUCAAAUUAUUCAAAAUUAUUUUCAAUUUUAUGGUAUGGUACAUACCGUAAAAUUUCUGUACUCUUUUAAAGCUUACAUUUCAGUGGUUUUCAGUAUAUUCACAAGGUUGUGCAACCAUCACCACUAUCUGGUUCUAGAACAUUUUCUUCACCCCCAAAGAAGCUUCAUACCCAUUAGCG
rnacentral:lncRNA from 1 species